GUGAAAUAUGGAAUAUUGAUUGAGUUAAUCAGCUGUUAAUAGAAGGAAGACGUGCACAGAAUAACUGAUUAAGAUCAAGAUAUUAUGUUGGUAAACAACACUUACAUUCUGUCCGCAUCGGCAAAUUCAAACAUGAAUACACGCAUCACGUUGACAAAUGUCCCGAUAACAGGAAGUGUGCGGGAUAAUCAUCUAAAAAUAGGCCUAGGGAUAAAUGGAAGAAACUCCUAAAAAACUAAUUUGCACACAUCAUCCAACAAAGCCAUGGAUAAUGGUUGGAGAGUUGCACGUUGCCAGGCCUGGUCCCAGUGCAUGUAUUGCUAAGCGGCGUGAUGGCUCAGUACCCAUCGAGCUGCACAAAGGGAUUAGAACCCCCAUCCCCCUUGUGUCGAUGACGGAAUAAACAUGCUGUCUGUGGUGUUUAUCCGGCGCACUAUCGUGACUAUUUCAGUGUUUCAUCAAAGACACGUUAAUUAUUUGGGAGGUGGAGAAACAUCAACAAGCAAAUCCACCCCCUCAAGGUUCUGGAUAGCUCCCCCGUGGAGGGUUAGUCAAUAGAUGCACGCAGUAAUUAAGAUAAUAACGUUAAAAAACACACAAGGAAAUAUCAUGCCAUCGCUCUCUCCCAUCUUUCCAGUCACCAACGGUCUCGUAAUUAUGAUGAUGCUUUGAUUGGCUUUAAUUAGCACCGUGAGUUAAGGGUAUGGCUAAGAGCGGUGGGAUUCAAUGGGCUUCAUAACGAUUACUGGAUCCAGGAGGCAUCUGUCUGUCUGAUGAACAACCUCAAAGCACAGCGACAUAAUUAACCGUAAACGUGACAUGAAUCAUCCGCUCGGAUCCGCUUGAAGUAAAAUUGAAAGUUUGAAACAUGGAUUGAUGAGCGGAAGAGGGCGGUAAGGGGAAAUGGAGAAUGAGAAGGAGAUACAGGCCUUCCAUAGGCGAAGGAGACGAGGAGAGGCUGGUAAAUCAAUGCAGAAGAGUUAUUGUAGGUCUAUGGAGUGGAACAGAGACCUUUCAUAUCCGAUAAGCCUGCGCUUCGGUCGUCACCACGGCAACCACGUGGUCUGGAGUCUUGAGUCUAUCGCAUGAGGAAUACAAAGUGAAUUGAUUUGAUUGAAUGUUGUCUCCGGUUAUUUCCUUAUUAAUUAUUCAGCAGCUGAAUCUGUGAGCUGAAUAUAUUUGUACGAAGAGACAUGCCUGUUGCGGGUUGAGAAAGAGGUCUUCAGGCCUCGACUGGAAGCUAUUGAGUAACUUUAGACCUUUUUUUAACCUAUUUAAUUCAUGGCAUCUUCUUGAAUAACCCUCCAUUGGAUUUCCACUUUUAAUGAAAGUGGAUAAAAUGAAGGAUGGGCUUCAGUAGUGAUCACUGCCUGUCAUGAACAGAGAAGUAAUUCUGUAUUCUGAAAUGUGAAAAGGUUCCCUGAACAAAAGCCUCACCCAACAUGGUAACAAGUUGUUUCCUGUGUGGACAGGAAAGACAUGUCACUCAACCAAAACAAUGAAGGACUGACAACAAUGAAUCAUCUUUAGAAAUCCUAAGAAAGAGGGGAAAAUAAAUAACUGCUCCAGCCCCAUCGUUCCAAAUACUUUGAAUACUAAUUAUUAAUUUCAGAUGACAAUGAAGUGCUUUGUUUUGCUGAUAAUGCGGUGGGGUGGUGGGGUGUAAUCCCGUGGUCGUGGGUGAACUAGACUCAAAGAAAAGGGAGCCUAGAUGACUUCCCUCAGAGCCUUGAACCAAAGCACUUUCAGAGAGUAGCAUUCUUACAAACGUUCUGAUAUGUUAAAUACAAAUAUUACAUUUUCUGAAUACGUGUCACUGACUCAUUGCCAGAUAGAAAUACAAACACUGACAAUUUAUUAUGACUAUUAAAGGGGAACUAUGCUACUUUUUUGGAUUAUUUUACCUUUAUAUAACAGGGUAAGAGUCAUUGUAAUGCUUCUAUAACACUUUAUGGGUCGAUUGGUCGCUAUUUCGACUCCCCCUAGCACAUCUUGGCGGAAAAAGGGAAUAUGCAAGUUUCUGCCAGCGACCCGCUGCCCACUGUCGCGGGAUUCUCGGGUCUCACGAUGCACCAAAUUGCUUUAUGGCAAUACAGACCCACAAACACGGAACCGGCUCGAUAUAAACGAUAUAAAGUGGCGAAGGGAUUUUUACAUUCAUCAUGGAUCAGCCGACUAAAAAGAGACAGAGAAACCCAAUGUCGGAGAAACAGAAGAAGAGAAAAGGGACACUGACCGGCAGAGAGGCCAGACACGAGUAAACGUUGGCCGAGCUUCUCAAGAAUAGCGUGAACUGAAAGAAAAAGACUGCAAAUCGGAUGCCAUGUUGCAACUUGCCAUGGCCGUGUUGCUCUUGAAAUUGUACGUACCCUUGGGUGAACUUUGUCCUCUUUGUAUUGUGGCUUCUUGAUGUUGAUAGUCUCUGUAAAAAUGUGUUUGCUCGACCGUUUUAUUGUGAGCCCUGUAUGUGUUCUAGCUAGCUGGGUUGUUAGCAUACUCGCUACCAAACAAGUUUGUUUUCAUGUUUUGUUUUGCUGUUCGUCUGUCUCGCCCCCUCGUCACCCAGAUACAGGCUCAAUCCCCGAAUCCAGGUUCUUAUUUAUUUAGAUCACUAGUCCACUAUUCGAAUGCUUCAGAUUUUUCUAAGAGUGCAUAGCCUAUCAUGUGAUAUGUCCGGCUUACCAUAUAAUGCAGUACCCUGCGCGAGAGCUGCUAGUUAGCACAUAUUCGUAGGUAACAGAACUGUUGCGAUACGUGAACCUCCAUUAUAGCUUUAGCCAUGUUAUUCCUUUGGUAUAACAUGGUUAUACCCAGUUCCCCGCUUGUAAACAUGUUUGUAACAAGAUUGCUUUGUAUUUUUUCUUAGUUACAAGCGUUGGCAAACAGCAUUGUAAUGAGGCUUGAGGCUUGAUGACCCAAGACGGCUUGCUUGCCUACCCCAGUUCAGCAACCACCCACAUCCAAACUUGUGUGGGUACAAGUGUCACGAGGAAAUCGAGAGAACCCUCAAAAAGAUGUUACACAGCCGUAAGGCAAAAAACAAACCAUGAAGAAGGAGUUUGUUUCACUUGCAUUUCUUUCAAUAUCCAAAAUAAAUAUUUAUUUUGUUGAAUAAGUGUGUAUUAUUGAACAAAUGAAAGAAAGAUGGUGCAAACCUCUGUUAUUUAAAAAAAUGGAAACAUUUUAAUACCAUAUACAAUAAUAUUUAUUGCAUGCAUGCAUUUACACGUAAACAUGUGUCCCUAACCUUCCAGACUCAGCAGCAUCUGCCUGUGACAACUCUCCUGCGGGGACUAGCAACAGCAUACCGUCUCGAUCUCUGAAUCCAUUUCCCUGUAAUUCCGUACACAAGUGACGUACUUCAGCAGAUACAUAAAUGUACGAUUAGUGCGCAAAUUGUUCAUGCUAUCGUUAUGUAUUAUGUUAUCCAACACUCUUACAAUGAUCCUUCUGUUCAACAACCAAAGAUAAAACUAUUCUAAUCUAGGAUAUAACCUCUCCCCGUCAACUAUAAAAAAGGAUGGGUUUAUUGUAACACAUACACCAUUUCAAAAUGUAUAACCUUGUCUACGCUUUUUUUUUCUUUUUUUUCUACCUCGGACAUGGCUCAACGCAUUCGCCGGUCUGAGUACCAAAUGUGUUCGGCUGCCAGAUCCAAUACGCCUGGUAUUUUGCCACAGGGGCUACUUUUGACUUCAGUAUUCAUGACACGUCUUUUCCUGAGAUGGUGGUGGUGUGUUGUCCUGGUGGAAAACCUUGGGCUGGAAGGGUAUGGGAGGAAGUUCGCCCACUUUACUGAGGAAGGAAAAUCAACCCUCCGAGACAAUGUCCCACCUGUCUUCAGGAAAACGAAACUAAAAAGAACACUUUCAAGCUGCACAGUGAUGCCAUUGGACUCUGACGAGGACCAUGCUUACAAUAAGAGGCCUUACAGCUUUCCCUCUAAGGAGAUGGGCAGUGGAGUUACCAUGGACAAAGAUGUCUUCAGCUUCAAAGAAGACACAUCUCUCAUUUAACAAACCAUUAAGUCAUUUAUUGGUACAGGCUUUAAUAAUUAAAAUACUUUUGGUAUGGAGCUUUUUAUAUUCUAAGGUUUAUGCCAAUAUUUGGAGGUGAGAACAUGAUGCUACUGCAUUUAAAGUCUCUAGUGCAAUCUGCUGUCUUCACCUGUAGCCAAUAUGUAUCAUCACAAUGUUCGAGUUGUGGCUUACGACACACACAUCUUUGGAUUUAUUGGGCGCUUUUCAAUACAAUAAUAAGGGUCCAAGUACUGAUUCUCUGUUGCCACUGGUUUACUUUUAUUUCUUUUCUAG
ensembl:lncRNA